GAUCAUGGCUCAGGAUGAACGCUAGCUACAGGCUUAACACAUGCAAGUCGAGGGGCAGCAUGAACUUAGCUUGCUAAGUUUGAUGGCGACCGGCGCACGGGUGAGUAACACGUAUCCGAACCUGCCGAUGACUCGGGGAUAGCCUUUCGAAAGAAAGAUUAAUACCCGAUGGCAUAGUUCUUCCGCAUGGUAGAACUAUUAAAGAAUUUCGGUCAUCGAUGGGGAUGCGUUCCAUUUAGGG
rnacentral:rRNA from 1 species